GAUGAACGCUAGCGGCAGGCUUAAUACAUGCAAGUCGAACGGGAUUCAGGGUAGCAAUACUUUGAUGAGAGUGGCGCACGGGUGCGUAACGCGUAUGCAACCUACCUUUAACAGGGGAAUAGCCCCAAGAAAUCGGGAUUAAUACUCCGUAACAUUGCGGGAUGGCAUCAUUCUGCAAUUAAAGAUUUAUCGGUUAAAGAUGGGCAUGCGUGACAUUAGCUUGUUGGUGAGGUAACGGCUCACCAAGGCAACGAUGUCUAGGGGUCCUGAGAGGGUUAUCCCCCACACUGGUACUGAGACACGGACCAGACUCCUACGGGAGCAGCAGUAAGGAAUAGUUGGACAAGUGGGCGACAAGCCU
rnacentral:rRNA from 1 species